CUGGUGGUGUAGAGCAGCGGAG
rnacentral:misc_RNA from 1 species